rnacentral:rRNA from 1 species
UACGGAGGGGGCUAGCGUUGUUCGGAAUUACUGGGCGUAAAGGGCGCGUAGGCGGUCUUGUAAGUCCUGUGUGAAAUCCCUCGGCUCAACUGAGGAACUGCACGGGAAACUGCUUGGGCUUGAGUUCGGGAGAGGGAAGCGGAAUUCCGGGUGUAGCGGUGAGAUGCGUAGAUAUCCGGAGGAACACCGGUGGCGAAGGCGGCUUCCUGGACCGACACUGACGCUGAGGCGCGAAAGCUAGGGGAGCAAACGG